CCCUUAGACGUUCUGGGCCGCACGCGCGCUACACUGACGGAGCCAGCGAGUAUAAACCUUGGCCGAGAGGUCUGGGAAAUCUUGUGAAACUCCGUCGUGCUGGGGAUAGAGCAUUGUAAUUAUUGCUCUUCAACGAGGAAUUCCUAGUAAGCGCAAGUCAUCAGCUUGCGUUGAUUACGUCCCUGCCCUUUGUACACACCGCCCGUCGCUACUGCCAACUGAGAUGGGUCCUGAAUUGUUAGGAACGCCCGUCAAGGGGCCUACCCGGUCCCUAGUGCGGUGACGAGAAUAACUGUAAAUGGCAUAUCUUGUAGGGAGUAAAAGUCGUAACA
rnacentral:rRNA from 1 species